rnacentral:rRNA from 1 species
GACGAACGCUGUUGGCGUGCUUAACACAUGCAAGUCGAACGGAAAGGCCCUGCUUUUGUGGGGUGCUCGAGUGGCGAACGGGUGAGUAACACGUGAGUAACCUGCCCUUGACUUUGGGAUAACUUCAGGAAACUGGGGCUAAUACCGGAUAGGAGCUCCUGCUGCAUGGUGGGGGUUGGAAAGUUUCGGCGGUUGGGGAUGGACUCGCGGCUUAUCAGCUUGUUGGUGGGGUAGUGGCUUACCAAGGCUUUGACGGGUAGCCGGCCUGAGAGGGUGACCGGCCACAUUGGGACUGAGAUACGGCCCAGACUCCUACGGGAGGCAGCAGUGGGGAAUAUUGCACAAUGGGCGGAAGCCUGAUGCAGCAACGCCGCGUGCGGGAUGACGGCCUUCGGGUUGUAAACCGCUUUCGCCUGUGACGAAGCGUGAGUGACGGUAAUGGGUAAAGAAGCACCGGCUAACUACGUGCCAGCAGCCGCGGUGAUACGUAGGGUGCGAGCGUUGUCCGGAUUUAUUGGGCGUAAAGGGCUCGUAGGUGGUUGAUCGCGUCGGAAGUGUAAUCUUGGGGCUUAACCCUGAGCGUGCUUUCGAUACGGGUUGACUUGAGGAAGGUAGGGGAGAAUGGAAUUCCUGGUGGAGCGGUGGAAUGCGCAGAUAUCAGGAGGAACACCAGUGGCGAAGGCGGUUCUCUGAGCCUUUCCUGACGCUGAGGAGCGAAAGCGUGGGGAGCGAACAGGCUUAGAUACCCUGGUAGUCCACGCUGUAAACGGUGGGUACUAGGUGUGGGGUCCAUUCCACGGGUUCCGUGCCGUAGCUAACGCUUUAAGUACCCCGCCUGGGGAGUACGGCCGCAAGGCUAAAACUCAAAGGAAUUGACGGGGCCCCGCACAAGCGGCGGAGCAUGCGGAUUAAUUCGAUGCAACGCGUAGAACCUUACCUGGGUUUGACAUGGAUCGGGAGUGCUCAGAGAUGGGUGUGCCUCUUUUGGGGUCGGUUCACAGGUGGUGCAUGGCUGUCGUCAGCUCGUGUCGUGAGAUGUUGGGUUAAGUCCCGCAACGAGCGCAACCCUUGUUCACUGUUGCCAGCACGUUAUGGUGGGGACUCAGUGGAGACCGCCGGGGUCAACUCGGAGGAAGGUGGGGAUGACGUCAAGUCAUCAUGCCCCUUAUGUCCAGGGCUUCACGCAUGCUACAAUGGCUGGUACAGAGAGUGGCGAGCCUGUGAGGGUGAGCGAAUCUCGGAAAGCCGGUCUCAGUUCGGAUUGGGGUCUGCAACUCGACCUCAUGAAGUCGGAGUCGCUAGUAAUCGCAGAUCAGCAACGCUGCGGUGAAUACGUUCCCGGG